AGUGGGAAUAACUCGGGGAAACUCGAGACUAAUACCGCAUACCUUCACAUGAUCGCAUGGUCGAGUGAAGAAAAGAAUUUCGCUCUGAGAGGGUCUCGCGGCCUAUCAGCUUGUUGGUGGGUAACGGCCUACCAAGGCAACGACGGGUAGCUGGUUUGAGAGAACGAUCAGCCACACUGGGACUGAGACACGGCCCAGACUCCUACGGGAGGCAGCAGUGGGGAAUCUUGCGCAAUGGGCGAAAGCCUGACGCAGCAACGCCGCGUGCGGGAUGACGGCCUUCGUGGUUGUAAACCGCUUUCAGCAGGGACGAAAAUGACGGUACCUGCAGAAGAAGCCCCGGCUAACUACGUG
rnacentral:rRNA from 1 species